AGGACGAACGCUGGCGGCGCGCCUAAUACAUGCAAGUCGAGCGACAAACUCGGGGCUUGCCCCGGGUGGACAGCGGCGAACGGGUGAGGAACACGUGAGAAACCUGCCCCGAAGACCGGGAUAACACCGGGAAACCGGUGCUAAUACCGGAUGCCCUCACCGGAUCGCAUGAUCCGGUGAGGAAAUGGAUUCCGCUUCGGGAUGGUCUCGCGGCCUAUCAGCUUGUUGGUGGGUAACGCCUACCAAGGCUUCG
rnacentral:rRNA from 1 species